CUGAAAACUAUAAAUAACGGAUAUCGCGGCAAAUUGUUUUCGUAUUCAUACAGCGAAAAUAUUUGAGUGGCUCGGAAUAAAAAGUAUAAUGGCAAAAAUGUUGAUAAAUUUACGAAAAUUACGGAAACUGGUUAACAAAUUACGAUACAUUAAAUUAAUAAUGCGAAAGUUCGUGAAAAAUGGUAUGUCCGGAAAAUUUUUCCACCCCCUCCCUUUGGAAAAAAAUAUUCAUUACCGAGUGAAAUAUCCGUCAGCAAAUGCGAUACUACACCCCCUGCUUUAGUCUCUUCGCUACUGCCCUGCUUCUGGUAUAUAUAAUAACCAGAAGACCCCGAAGUUUCGAGCGAAGAUCCCUCGUCUGAAGAGAUUGUGUUUCUUACCAACUAAUUCUUCUGCAUGACCAGAUAGUUUUAAAACUGCGAAAUUUCUGCUUAUUUUUUCAUGCCGACGAUUUUGAACCAUUUAAAAAAAUAAGUAAAAUGUUUCCCAUUGUCCCAUUUUCCCACCUUUUUGUAACUCAGCAUGCCAAUCGAAAUUUUAAUUUUAUCAUUGUUAUAAUCGUUAAACAUCGUGCCCAUCCAUAACCCUAGUGGCCAGUCGUCAGCGGUAUUUUCAUCUUGCCAAGCUUGUCAA